rnacentral:sRNA from 1 species
CCUCCUGGGGACCAGCGACCCGGGGAGCGAGCACGUCGCUCCGCACCGCUCUUCCUCCAGCCGCUGAGCCGUCCCUUCUCGCCAUGUCCCAGAGCAGGCACCGCGCCGAGGCCCCGCCGCUGGAGCGCGAGGACAGUGGGACCUUCAGUUUGGGGAAGAUGAUAACAGCUAAGCCAGGGAAAACACCGAUUCAGGUAUUACACGAAUACGGCAUGAAGACCAAGAACAUCCCAGUUUAUGAAUGUGAAAGAUCUGAUGUGCAAAUACACGUGCCCACUUUCACCUUCAGAGUAACCGUUGGUGACAUAACCUGCACAGGUGAAGGUACAAGUAAGAAGCUGGCGAAACAUAGAGCUGCAGAGGCUGCCAUAAACAUUUUGAAAGCCAAUGCAAGUAUUUGGUGAGCUAAAUUUCUUUGUAUUCAGCAGCUCAAAAAUAUCAUGGCUGAGGUAAGAUUAAAAAUUUGAACAUGCUUACAAAAGCAACAAAGUGAACAGUUGUUAGCAUCCUACCUCUCAAAUUCUAUUUCCUUAUGAAAAUUUAUCAUCCAUUAAAGAAAACUUUAUCCAAUCAAAUCCAGCAAUU